UACGUAGGUGGCAAGCGUUGUCCGGAUUUAUUGGGUUUAAAGGGUGCGUAGGCGGUUAUAUAAGUCAGUGCUGAAAUAUCCCGGCUUAACCGGGAGGGUGGCAUUGAUACUGUAUGACUUGAGUAAAGUUGAGGUUGGCGGAAUUGACGGUGUAGCGGUGAAAUGCUUAGAUAUCGUCAAGAACACCGAUUGCGAAGGCAGCUAACUAAGCUUUAACUGACGCUGAGGCACGAAAGUGUGGGGAUCAAAC
rnacentral:rRNA from 1 species